GAUGAACGCUGGCGGCGUGCUUAACACAUGCAAGUCGAACGGAAAGGCUCCUGCUUGCAGGGGUACUCGGGUGGCGAACGGGUGAGUAACACGUGGGUGAUCUGCCCAGCACUUCGGGAUAAGCCUGGGAAACUGGGUCUAAUACCGGAUAGGACGAUGGUUUGGAUGCCAUUGUGGAAAGUUUUUUCGGUGUGGGAUGAGCUCGCGGCCUAUCAGCUUGUUGGUGGGGUAAUGGCCUACCAAGGCGUCGACGGGUAGCCGGCCUGAGAGGGUGUACGGCCACAUUGGGACUGAGAUACGGCCCAGACGCCUACGGGAGGCAGGAGUGGAGAAUAUUGCACAAUGGGCGCAAGCCUGAUGCAGCGACGCCGCGUGGGGGAUGACGGCCUUCGGGUUGUAAACUCCUUUCGCUAGGGACGAAGCGCAAGUGACGGUACCUGGAGAAGGAGCACCGGCUAACUACGU
rnacentral:rRNA from 1 species